rnacentral:rRNA from 1 species
UACGUAGGGUGCAAGCGUUGUCCGGAAUUAUUGGGCGUAAAGAGCUCGUAGGCGGUUUGUCGCGUCUGCUGUGAAAACGCGAGGCUCAACCUCGCGCCUGCAGUGGGUACGGGCAGACUAGAGUGCGGUAGGGGAGAUUGGAAUCCUGGUGUAGCGGUUGAAAUGCGUAGAUAUCAAGAGGAACACCUGAGGUGAAGACGGGUUGCUGGGCCGACACGUGACGCUGAUGCGCGAAAGCCAGGGAGCAAACGGG